GCCAGGCCCUAUCCAACUCCCAAGACUGGGGAUCCCUUCAAGUCAACCCAAUUAUUCAGCCCUUCAUCUUUGUUGUUCUGUAUUCUUGCUUCUUUAUAAAACUAACGUGGUCAGGAAGGGACUGCCUCUUUAAACAGAAGAGUAAACAUGUUGUCACAUGGUUUAUUGACAUUCUAGUUAUCAGGGACUCAUUCUGCUUUUUCUUAGAAACAAGAUCACAGGGAUGCUGUCUCACAGUGUGUGUGUGUGUGUGUGUGUGUGUGUUCUGGAAGCUGGAUAAGUAACUGUUCUACCAAGAGGCUACAGAGGACCUAGAGCCCCACAGGGUGAGCACUGCCAGGAGGUACAGGAAGCUGAAGGUGGAGACCUGGGUCCCCCUCCCUGAUUGCUCUAGCUGAAGUGUGAGCAGGCCAGCUCUCCCUGAAGCCGAGUUCUUUUUAGCAGAACCAUCUAAGAACGGGGAGGCCCCCUCCUCUGGGCAGAGAGCUUCAGGGUUGAGGAUAUCUGCUGAGAGGAAUUGAGGCCAGGCAGCUGUGGGGCCAGGCAGGGUAGAGGCAGUGAAUCACUUUGCCCUAUGCAGCUCCAGGCACUGGUGACCUUUGGGUGAGUCACUGCCGCCAGUUUUGAGAAAAGCCAUGUGGGCAGUGUUUCUGUGUGUCAGCUCAAACUCAAGUUCUACACAGAGGAGGCCCAAAGGAGCCGUGACCAAUGACGACCUUUCAGUUGGCCCCAAAAUGGCAGUCCACCCAGGAGUCUAGAAAGAUGGUGGUGAGUUCCAGGCUUCCUGAUUUCCCACCCCAGGAAAGGGUGGGUCCAGCCCAGGCAGAGCGCUUGUUUAAAUAAUGACUUCAGGAAAAUUAUUCCUACUAACGGGUUUUAGGUGGGUGUUGGAGCGUCUGCUGGCCUGUCAGAAUCCGGCUUGGGAGGAUGAUGGGCCUGCCCAUUGUCUUGUACAUGUACUGGAACCGUGUAGCCUCUGUGGCUCCAACAUCCCAGAACGAUGCAGCUCAUGGUUAUGGAGGACAUACCCAGCAUCUGGCACCGCACUAAAUACAGGACAUGAGUCAGCUGAGCUCUCAUUUAGUUCGGCAAAGUAGGUGAGAACAGUCACCUUCUAGUGAGCAAAAUGCAGAAAGCCCAAGCAACUCGCCCCAAACCACACAGCAGCGUUUCCCCCGUCUCUGUACUGGAGUCUGCAGUUUGACUGAUCUACUACAGUGUCCCAGAAGCUAAAGCGAAUUACUUCGGUUCUAAUGAUAAACAUAUGAGUUCUGCGUGGAGGCACAUGUCUGUAACCUCCGCACUCAGGAGGCGGAAAUAGGAGGCAAAUAAGGACAACCUGGGAAAGACAUGAAAUGAAACAAUGAACUCUAAAGCUGAAAUAUGUGGUGUGAGAUGAAAGAUGGCAAUCCCAUAGUCUGGGAAGGGCACGCUGCUCAGUGGAAGUCUAGCCCUCAGCCCCAGAGAAGCUUGCAUCAGGCUUUCCGGAGUCUUCACGGGCUGUGUCCCCAACCCCUGCACUGCUGUGGAAAGAUAGGACAUAGACGUGAAGCUGUGACCCUCAUGAAGGGCUGAUAGACCCAGUGCUGUCACUAUCUUCAGGCCAAAAACCCACGGAAGUGCAGACCUCUGCGGCCCUCUGCUUGGGGCAGGCCCGGUGCCUCCACUGUGCCGCCCUUGGCCUUCCAUGCCAAGAGCAGCAGUCUUGCCCUUAGAAAUCAACAGCGGCUAAUCCGCGGUAGGGCGGGGUGUCUGCUGCGUGUUAUUCUGCUGAUAAUCCCUGACUGGCCCUGAAAGCUCCUCCAGCCAAGGGUGCAACCUCAGUGGGAGGCUCCAGCUCUUGUUCCAGGCAAUAGGCCUGGGACUCAACUCCGCAACACCAAGAACGAGGGGCGUGGCCUUCGGGGGAAGGGCUGCGGUGCUGCGGCUGUCCAGCAGGGGAAGCCAGGAAACAGCUCAGCGAGACUCAGGUUAGCUCAGCUCAGCCCCUCCUGGGCUGGAAUCCAGGUCCCCUGAUGCCUAAGUGACAAGGGCCAACGGGGUUGAUCCUUCACAAGAGGAGGCUGAGUGUGUUGGGAGGCUGCAAGGGAGGACCUGCGUGGGAGAACUCCGUGGGGCGUGGGACCUGCUUACUCUUUCCAAGGAGUUUGUCCACCUCCCCUGCAAACAGAGCUUUGCCUGUGGCCUUCAGGAAAGACGACUCGGAGUGCAGUUAACCGUAGAUUGACCACACACAAACUGCCCUAGAAUCCAUCUGCUCUCCCACAGAACCCCGGCCAGACCAGGACACUUUCAGGCUCAGCACUUUGCUCUAAGGUUUCUAGACUGCUUUGACACUUAGCCCUAGAGCUCACUUUGGCUUUGGGGUUCACAAAUACUGUUCUCAAAGCAGUAUUCCCCAGGCCACCUCUGCUGACCGUAGGUGGAUCCGCUCUUUAGGAGUUAACAUGUAAACAGUUAGAGUCAAAGCAGUGUUGCUGGCCAGGCAGAGCUUUCAUAGUGUGUAGCUAGUCCCCAGUUGUAAGGGAAGGAAUUGAGGUUCCAAGAAAUUAACUGCCCGAAAUCUCCAGAUCUGAAGGACUGUGUGCCCAUAUGGACAUUCUUUUUUUUUUUUCUUUCCCAUAUGGACAUUCUUAAGCCUGGGUUCUUUCUUAUAUACGGUUCUCAACGUUUGUGGAUUUGAAGUAGAAGCAGCAACAGCAGCAGCAGGGAUCACACAGAAAGGAAGGUGCUGGGUUGGAGGUGUGGCUUGGUGAUAGACCACUGACUUCCCUUAAGUGUGAGGGCUCGAUCCCCAGCAGGGGUGGGGGCUGGGUAGGCAGUCUCUGGUUUAACAGCUGAAUCAGACACUCAGGGGAGGAGUACCCAGGUGGUGGCGGUCAGGUCAAGGUCGGGCAUGAGGCCCACUGUCCUCUCCCUGACUCCCGGAGGCCUCCUCCUUUCUAAGUACCUGGGCUACACUUUCAUUUUCCUUUGAAUUCAUUUAUUAGCACCGUUUUUUAUAGAAAACCAAAAGCCAUAACAGUUCAGUAAUGUUGCUCAGGAUCACCCAGGUAUUAGAGUUAUUGGGAUUUGAGUCCAGUUUGACUCUAUGACCUGGGUCCUUAAGUCACUACACCAUACAGCCCUGGAAACAGGGUUCCGAAACCUCGAAAGGCCUGGUAUGGUCGCUCACACCUCCAAUCCCAGUGUUUAGGAGGCUGAGGCAAGAGGAUUGUUUAAGGCUAACCUGGGCUACAGAGGGCAUUCUAGUUCAACCUUGGCUUUAAGAGUGAGACCUUGCUUCAAAAAACAAACAAACUGUCAAAGACAGAACCACUCUGAAGUGUUUUAAUGUAGUAUUUCUAGAUCUUUCCACGGAAUAAAUAACAAAUUAAACCAAACUUAAGUCUCAUUUUAUACAAUCAAUCAGUAUGGCCUGGCAGCUUCUGUUCCCUGUACCCAUUAUUGCCACACUAUUGCCUUGCUUAAGAGAGCCUGAAGCCCCUUCUUUUCCUCUUUUCCUCCCUGCAUGGGCACUGAGGCCUCCUGGAUGCUGGGAAGUGCUCUAUCACACUGUGGUACGUUAUCUCGAGCCUCUGAACCACUUGUUUUCUCCAAGACUUGAUGGGGAACCUAAAUCCAGAUAGAAGCCGAAAUCCAGAACAACAACAAAAAAUGUGUCUUCCCUCUGAUGCAGCAGACAAAGCUGAAGAAAAUCGAGGCGGAAUAAACAACAAGCAGCUGCAGGGUUGCGUGCGGAGGAAGGGAUCCAACUUAAGCCUGCCUUCCAUGUCUUUGCCGGGUGAUCCUGACUUGAGCCUGCCUACCAAGUCUUUGCUGGGUGACCUCAGGCCACCACGAAGCCUGUUUCCAGGUGUUCCCCACCACGUCUGCCUUUCUCACGAGUAUCACAGGGAUUGAACUCGGAUCACCUGGCCCACAAGGCAAG